rnacentral:tRNA from 1 species
UAGCUCAGCUGGAUAGAGUAGUGGCUUCCGAAGCCAUUGGUCACAGGUUCGAAUCCU